ensembl:lncRNA
CAAAAUCAGAAUAUAUUAUACAGAAAAAUAUUCCAGUUUGAUAUGUUGCCAUGGCAACACUAUAUUAGAUAUCAAUAUCCCCUCAACAGUUUUACAUGGGCCGUGUUUUGUCAUUAUUCUGAUGAAGUUUGAAGCAAAUUGAGUAAAAAUAAGAUGCUGAAUUCAAAGCAUUUUGAAAAUGACACACUUCCUGCUGCCAGUUGGUGGCGCUAUAAUUUUGACUCCUAAUAGUCACAUAUAUGCGAUCGGCAUCAUACAACAAACAAAUUGAUGAAGUUUAAUUAAAAUCAGGAAAUGUAUGUGGAUGUUAUUAGACACUUCCUGUUUCUCGUUUCUCGCCAUAAUUUCAACGCCUCGCCACGAGCAAACCAUUCGAGAUAUCAAAAAUCCCCUGGCAAUUUUGCAUCCCCAAUGUCUUGACAUCAUGUUGACCAAGUUUGGUGGCAAUCGGGUAAAAAACCUAUGACAAGUAUAUCAAAUUCCAGAGCAUGCACUUUUUACAUAGCUCUAAAUAGCUGACUUCCUGUUGGGCGGAGCCUAUGACAUGCAAUACGAAAGUUGUUCGGCACAAUGAGAUCUAUAUGUAUACUGAGUUUCAUAUGAAUACGUGCAAGUAUGUUUGAACUAUACAUCAACAUUUCUGACUGUGUUCCAGGGGGCGCCGUAGAGCCCCUGUGCCACGCCCGGGUCUCAGCCUCUGCAGCCUCCUAAUGGCCACAGAUUCUAAGGUGUGUGCAAAUUUUCAAGAGUUUUUGAGCAUGUUAAGGGCCCCAAAAGCCCCCACAACUUUGACGAAAAAUAAGAAUACUAAACCCUAAAUAGCCAACUUCCUGUUGGGCGGAGCCUAUGACAUGCAGUACGAAAGUUGUUCGGCUUGAUGAGAUCUAUAUGUGUACCGAGUUUCAUACGUCUACGUGCAAGUAUGUAUGAUAUAUGGCCCUCCAUAUUCCAGGGGGCGCUGUAGAGCCCCUGUGCCACGCCCGUGUAUCAGUCUCUGCCCGGCCCUAAUGGCCGCAGGUUCCAAUGUGUGUGCAAAUUUUCAAGAGUUUUUGAGCAUGUUAAGGGCCCCAAAAGCCCCCACAACUUUGACGAAAAAUAAGAAUACUAAACCCUAAAUAGCCAACUUCCUGUUGGGCGGAGCCUAUGACAUGCAGUACGAAAGUUGUUUGGCUUGAUGAGAUCUAUAUGUGUACCGAGUUUCAUACGUCUACAUGCAAGUAUGUAUGAUAUAUGGCCCUCCAUAUUCCAGGGGGCGCUGUAGAGCCCCUGUGCCACGCCCGUGUAUCAGUCUCUGCCCGGCCCUAAUGGCCGCA